rnacentral:piRNA from 1 species
UGCUUCUGUGCUGGGAGAGCCCACCAAA